GGCAAGGUAGCUCAGUUGGUUAGAGCCUCGGAUUCAUAAACCGAAGGUCGUGGGUUCGAAUCCCACCCUUGCUA
rnacentral:tRNA from 1 species